rnacentral:rRNA from 1 species
GAUUAACGCUGGCGGCGUGCAUAACACAUGCAAGUCGAACGAUGAAACUUUAAUGAACCCUUCGGGGAGAAUUAAAGCGGAUUAGUGGCGAACGGGUGAGUAACGCGUGAGUAACCUGCCUUACACAAGGGGAUAGCCUUUGGAAACGAAGAAUAAUACCCUAUAAAACCAUAAAAGCACAUGCAAUUAUGGUCAAAGUGAUAGCGGUGUAAGAUGGACUUGCGUCUGAUUAGCUAGUUGGUGAGAUAAAAGCCCACCAAGGCAACGAUCAGUAGCCGGCUUGAGAGAGUGUACGGCCACAUUGGGACUGAGACACGGCCCAGACUCCUACGGAAGGCAGCAGUGGGGAAUUUUGCACAAUGGGGGAAACCCUGAUGCAGCGACGCCGCGUGAUUUAGAAGGCCUUCGGGUUGUAAAAAUCUUUUGUAUAGGAAGAAAAUGACAGUACUAUACGAAUAAGGUCCGGCUAAUUACGUG